UACGUAGGGUGCAGGCGUUAAUCGGAAUUACUGGGCGUAAAGCGUGCGCAGGCGGUUUGCUAAGACAGGUGUGAAAUCCCCGGGCUUAACCUGGGAACUGCGCUUGUUACUGGCAAGCUUGAGUGCGGCAGAGGGGGAUGGAAUUCCGCGUGUAGCAGUGAAAUGCGUAGAUAUGCGGAGGAACACCGAUGGCGAAGGCAGCCCCCUGGGCUAACACUGACGCUCAUGCACGAAAGCGUGGGGAGCAAACAGG
rnacentral:rRNA from 1 species